rnacentral:rRNA from 1 species
AUUGAACGCUGGCGGCAGGCUCUACACAUGCAAGUCGAGCGGGGGAAGGUAGCUUGCUACCGGACCUAGCGGCGGACGGGUGAGUAAUGCUUAGGAAUCUGCCUAUUAGUGGGGGACAACAUCUAGAAAGGGAUGCUAAUACAGCAUACGUCUUUCGGGAGAAAGCAGGGGAUCUUCGGACCUUGCGCUAAUAGAUGAGCCUAGGUCGGUUUAGCUGGUUGUUGGGGUAAAGGCCUACAAAGGCGACGAUCUGUAGCGGGUCUGAGAGGAUGGGCCGCCACACGGGGACUGCAAGACGGCCGAGACUCCGACUGGGGGCAUCAGUUGGGAAUAUUGGACAAUGGGGGGAAACCUGAUACAUCAAAGCCUCGUGUGUGAAUAAGGCCUUAUGGUUGUAACGCACUUUAAGCGAAGAGGAGGCUACUUAAGUUAAUACCUGGGGAUAGUGGACGUUACUCGCAGAAUAAGCACCGGCUAACUCUGUGCCAGCAGCCGCCGUAA